rnacentral:lncRNA from 1 species
ACAUCCCGACCCUUAUAUUUUUACCUUAUUUACUAGCGUGAUUAUAAUAAGAAUUUUUACCGUUCCGAUCAUUGAGUAAAUAGUUUAAUUGGUCCCUAGAGGGGUUUCGGGGACGAUUAUGUGCGGAGGAUAAUUCGUAUGAGGAAAAUACGACGACGGUAAAAAUGGUAAAUUUUAGCUAGUAAAAGGUAAUUUUUAUUCGGGUAUUAUUUUUCGGGGUGUUUUUAUUUUUAGAAUUUGGGUUGAUAUAGGUUGGACCGGUGGAGGCCCAACCCAUUUUCUUUUUCCUUCCUUUCUCUUCUUCCCUCUUUUCUCUUCCUCUCCCCGAGCUCUCUCUUCCCGCUGCCCAGUUUUCCGGCCGCCCUCCCGCUGCCCAGUUUUCCGGCCGCCCUCCCGCCGCCGUCCGGCCUCCGUUCGCCGCCGGACCGGUUCCGUUCGGUCGGUCUCCCUCCCAGCAACAUUUCUAGACCGGUGACAGCCUCCCUAGCGCCGCCGUGAGUGAGCGGUGCCGCCCGAAAGCUUCGACUGCCGAAUCGGUUUUUUCGCCGGAACUUCCUCCUCCGGCCACCAAUCCGGGCAAGCUUGGUAUGGUUUUGUAGCCCUCCAACCCAGCAACCUUGCCCUAAAAGGACUCACUCCCUCUUGAGCUAGGUAAGGAGAAAUUUGAGGUGGAAGUUUUAUGGUGUUUUUGAUGUUUUUAGUCGAUUGCCCUAGUUAGGCUUGGAAUUGGUGUUUGUGCUAGUUAUGAAAGUUGUAGAGGAGAUUGAGAGGAAGAUUCUGUUAAAAUUUGGUAGCAUUUGCAGGUCGCCGGAAAACCGCUGCCGGCGGAGCCGCCGCCGGUUAGGAGAUUUUUAUGGUUUUUGAUGUAGAAUAUUAAGGGGAUAUUAUUGAAGUGAAUUAUGGAAUUUUUGGAUGAGAUUUGGAUAGGUUUGUGAAUUUCCGAAGUUUGGUAUUUUUGGCGGUUAAUUAAUGUAGAAUCCGGCCGUAGGAUUUAAGUCGUAUUUUGGAGAGGUUGUAUUUACGACUGUUGAGUAUGAUAUUUAAGUUCGGAUUGUUCCGAUGUAAGAAUAUCGAAGUUAGGCAAUGAUGAGCGUAAUUAUGGCUCUCGGGUAAUUUUGCCUAUUUUGAUUAUAUAUUGGAUUAUUGGUUGGGAAAUUAAUAUGAUAUUUGGAACAGGACGUGAAGAGGCUCGAGCAGACGAGACCCCAGAUUGACAUCAGGCUUAGGCCUAAUUAGUGAGUGGACGUUUAUUUUAAAUAAAUGCAUGCUAAAGUUCACGAUUGAAUAAUUAAUGUCGUGGAGUAUUUUGACGUCAUUUUAAUUUUUGACG